rnacentral:rRNA from 2 species
AAUGUAGCGUAUAGGUUUGGCCAAAUUUUAGGUCGUACACUACAUAAAACCCAAAGUUUACCUUGAACGGGACCACGAUCCAUAGAAGGUGUCAGACCUGUACGGGUUGUGUUUGUGUACGAUUGGUCAUACUUUAGAGUCGGGUUGCCUGAGAUCGCAGCCCAAAUUGGGUGGUAGACUUCAUCUAAGGCUAAAUAUGGCCACGAGACCGAUAGCGAACAAGUACCGUGAGGGAAAGUUGCAAAGAACUUUGAAGAGAGAGUUCAAGAGGGCGUGAAACCGCUGAGAAUGAAGCGGAUAGAGUCGACGAAACUUAAUCAGUAUUCAACCAACACGUUAAACGGUUUCACGCACGUGCGUCAUGUUAUGCAAAUUUCGUGACGUUCAUCGUGCGUGCAUUAACUGUAUAAUGUAAAUGCUGGUGUAUUUACUGAUUGUAUGCAUUGAGAGCUUCGUAUUAUUAGCGCACGAAGAAACUCAACCAAUAGAGGCUUGUUGAAUUAGAAAUUUUUUUCUAUUCGACGAUAACCUAUUGAAGUUGAAAAGCGUGUCGCAUAUGAAGUUUGCGAAUAACGCACGCAAUUAAUCACCACAAUUUAGCAAUAAAUAAAAAUGUUGUUGAUUGUGUUUGUGUAUUCAAAGCGCUCUCCUCUUAUCGUUUUUUUUUUAA